AUGGCAUCCAACAACUUGUGUCCUCCGGUUAAAAACAUUCUUCUUUUAGAUUCUGAAGGGAAGCGUGUGACAACUGAAGCUGAGAUAACACUGCUUGAGAACAAUAUCAUUGUUUACAAAUUUGUGCAAGACCUACAUUUCUUUGUCACUGGCGGUGAUGAUGAAAAUGAGCUUUGGCAUCAGAUCUUCAGGGUUUCUUCGAUGCAGUCACCCUUUUGCUGA